CCUACGGGUAGCAGCAGUGGGGAAUAUUGGACAAUGGGCGAAAGCCUGAUCCAGCCAUGCCGCGUGUGUGAAGAAGGCCUUCGGGUUGUAAAGCACUUUCAGUGGGGAAGAAAGCCUUGGGGCUAAUACCCUCGAGGAAGGACAUCACCCACAGAAGAAGCACCGGCUAACUCCGUGCCAGCAGCCGCGGUAAUACGGAGGGUGCGAGCGUUAAUCGGAAUUACUGGGCGUAAAGCGCGCGUAGGCGGUCUGAUAAGCCGGUUGUGAAAGCCCCGGGCUCAACCUGGGAACGGCAUCCGGAACUGUCAGGCUAGAGUGCAGGAGAGGAAGGUAGAAUUCCCGGUGUAGCGGUGAAAUGCGUAGAGAUCGGGAGGAAUACCAGUGGCGAAGGCGGCCUUCUGGACUGACACUGACGCUGAGGUGCGAAAGCGUGGGUAGCAAACAGGAUUAGCUACCCGAGUAGUC
rnacentral:rRNA from 1 species